GCGAUCUCAGGAAGAAAAUGGGAAAGAAUGCAGAAAGAAAAGAGCAUGGACAUAAAGGUUUAAGAAAGGAAGCAAAACCAAGAAGAAAAGAAGUAUUUUCCUAAUUCCUUACUCAGUACUCAGCCAACAAGUUUUCACGGUGUGUUUUGAAUCUAUACCAAGAUGGAUUCAAUAAAUUCAUCAGUUAAGAAAACCACUUGCGUCUGUCGGUACCUGGAGGAAUUAUAGUGAAAACUCUAACUGAUCUGGGCGGGUGGAGAGCACGAGUGGGGCGGCAUGAUCAAAGGAGCAGCAGCCUCAUCAGAGCGUGAUCAGCAGUGCACAGUGUGGAGCCGUGAAGGGACACUUGAGCCAGGAGCGCAUGGGACCAAAGUUAUGCGGUUGAGGAGCAACAUUUGAGAUAAGGCCAUAAGGAACUUGGACACUCAGAAGUUAAGAGUUUGUCUAAAUAAAGGAUACAAGUUUAAA